AAAAAAAGCCAAACAAAACUCUUGACAGGAGCUUUAACAGCGACGAAAGAGAGGAUGCCUCUUAAAGGUGAGUCCCACUUCUUUCUUCUCGAUUUCUUUAUAUUUCAAUAUCCUAGCAGGUCUCUCCCUCUCUUCUUUCCUCCCCACUCGCCGGUCCCCUCCCCCACUACCACGCCGGGAGAAUUGGGCCGGAGAAGUUUCCACGCAGGAGCCCAAACUUUCUACUUCCAGCGAAAGCCCGCGUCGGAGGGCGACGGUUCGCGAGCCGCAGCAGCGCGGAGCUCGGGGCAGCCGGCUGGCUCUGCACCAGCGCAAGUGCGGCUGAACCUCUCCGAGAGCAGCUAGGCUGCAGGGCGCCCCCGCAAACCGCAGCUCUCGGCUUCAGCGCCUCCAAAAGCUCACGGUCAGCCGAAAAGGACGAAGAGGCUCCUCCGUGCCCCAGGCCGCGGAGAGCAGCCACCGGCGAUGCUUUUGUCCAGCCCCGGCCGAGCCAGCGCGCAGAGAGCGCCCAACCAG
rnacentral:lncRNA from 1 species